CCGCAUUCUGCUUUCCUCCCCAAUUCGGCAGUGUUGCGGUAGAGACCAGCAUUGUUGUUUGUAUUUUCUUUCUUUUUUUUCUCUUCCAUGCGAUAGCCGAUUCAAAGUCUAUGCGUGGCGGAGAUUCAACUGCGGUCGACUGGAGUUUGGCUGGUGGUGGCUCGCGUUAUUGACGACAGUGUGGCGAUGGUUUGAGUUCUUCGAUCCUACAAUGUUUUGGUGACAAUAGCAGUGUUGUUGCGGGAUCAAAUUAAACAAAUCUAGCGGGAGCACUUCUCUUCCUAGGUCAAUCUAAGUAGCGAACGACGACAACAACAUUCUAAAUCGUUUAUCAAACUUCAAAUUGGACAGUAGUAGCAUACACUUAGUGCAAGAGGGUGAAGCGAAUUCAGCAAACAAUAGGAAGAAGAAGGUGAGUUGAACUGCCAACGACUGGAGUGCAAAAAAUCCUUGACGUUAUUCUAUUGUUGCAAGUCGAGGUAAAGGAGAAAGAAUGACGUUCCUGGUUGCGGUUGGAUGGUGCACGGGUCGAGAAUGCGACCCGACCCUGAUCACAAUGUUCAAGUAUUAAGCUUCGCAUCUUGGGAACUCAUGAUUUUGUGAAAUCAUGGAGACAUUUGCUGAAGUCUUUUCGUUGUUUUGUGCCGAGGGUUGCACUGUUGUAGAGUAGUUGAAUUGCUAGAGGUAGAUCAAUUGCUGCUAGUAUGGUUUUUUUUUCCAUAUCACCGUCCUGGCCUGUAUGCAGGGUCGAUAUUAGAACUCCGUAAGGCCCAGAUUGAUACUUAGGAUUUUAAAAAAGAGAAAAAUAAAAUAAAAUAAAAUACUUGAUCUUGCGCUUUGGCUUGAA